rnacentral:rRNA from 1 species
UACGUAGGGCGCAAGCGUUGUCCGGAAUUAUUGGGCGUAAAGAGCUCGUAGGCGGUUUGUUGCGUCGGCUGUGAAAUCCCGAGGCUCAACCUCGGGUCUGCAGUCGAUACGAGCAAACUAGAGUGUUGCAGGGGAGACUGGAAUUCCUGGUGUAGCGGUGAAAUGCGCAGAUAUCAGGAGGAACACCGGUGGCGAAGGCGGUCUGCUGGGCCAGUACUGACGCUGGAGGCGCGACAGCGUGGGGAGCAAACAGG